rnacentral:rRNA from 1 species
UACGAAGGGGGCUAGCGUUGUUCGGAAUCACUGGGCGUAAAGCGCACGUAGGCGGAUUUGUUAGUCAGGGGUGAAAUCCCGGGGCUCAACCUCGGAACUGCCUUUGAUACUGCAAAUCUCGAGUCCGGAAGAGGUGAGUGGAAUUCCUAGUGUAGAGGUGAAAUUCGUAGAUAUUAGGAAGAACACCAGUGGCGAAGGCGGCUCACUGGUCCGGUACUGACGCUGAGGUGCGAAAGCGUGGGGAGCAAACAGG